ACACCCGAACAGCUAGCCCAACUUCAAACCCAAACAUUAUCCUUAUUAAUUACCCAAUAAAAACAACUUAAACCAAAACAAACCAUUUUUCCACCCAAGUACGUGAGACAGAAAAGGACCCCCGGAGCUAUAGAAAAAGUACCGCAAGGGAAAGCUGAAAGAGAACUGAAAAAACCCAGUAAAGGUAGAAAAAGCAGAGCUCUUACCUCGUACCUUUUGCAUCAUGAUUUAGUCAGCACCCCUCAAGCAAAGAGUUCUUUACGUUUGACCCCCCGAAACUGAGCGAGCUACUCCAAAACAGCCUAUUGUAGGGCAAACCCGUCUCUGUUGCAAAAGAGUGGGAGGAUUUUUGAGUAGAGGUGAUAAACCUACCGAGCCCAGUUAUAGCUGGUUGUCUGGGAAACGAAUAAAAGUUCGACCUUUUGCCUUUUUUAAGCAAACUAAAACACCCACCCUUUAUUUUAAAGCCGAAGAGAAGUUAAAAGAGCUAUUCAAGAGAGGGACAGCUCUCUCGAAAAAAGAAACAACUUUAACAGAAGGUUAAAGACCAUAAAAAAUAAGGACGCACGCCUAAGUGGGCUUAAAAGCAGCCAUCUUAACGAAUAGCGUUAAAGCUUAAGUUUUUUCACUCCUAAUAUUCAAAAAAUUUUUCUUAACCCACUGCCCAACCCCUACCAGACCACUUCAUGCAUUCAUGAAGGAGAUCCUGCUAAUAUGAGUAAUAAGAGGGCAAUGCCCCUCUCCCCGCACCCGUGUACAUCAGCACGAACCCCGCACUGAAAAUUAACGCCCCCACAAAAGAGGGUAGUAAAGCAAGACCCCCAAAACAAGAAAUCCACUCAUCCAUUGAACGUUAAACCUACACAGGAGUGCCCAAGGAAAGACUGAAAGGAAAAGAAGGAACUCGGCAAACACUGGCCUCGCCUGUUUACCAAAAACAUCGCCUCUUGUUAUAGAUAUAUAAGAGGUCUCGCCUGCCCUGUGAUCUAAAGUUCAACGGCCGCGGUAUUUUGACCGUGCGAAGGUAGCGUAAUCAUUUGUCUUUUAAAUAAAGACCUGUAUGAAUGGCAUUACGAGGGCCAAGCUGUCUCCUUUUUCCAGUCAAUGAAAUUGAUCUGCCCGUGCAGAAGCGAGCAUAAACACAUAAGACGAGAAGACCCUAUGGAGCUUUAGACAUAAGACAGCCCAUGUUAAACCACCUAACACAUCAGGAAAAAACUAAAUGGCCUCUGUCCCUUUUGUCUUUGGUUGGGGCGACCGCGGAGUAAUAAAUACCCCCCACGUGGAAUGGACCCCAGACUCCUAAUGCCCGAGCAACAGCUCUAACACACAGAAUUUCUGACCUUCAAGACCCGGUACGCCGAUCAACGGACCUAGUUACCCUAGGGAUAACAGCGCAAUCCUCUCCUAGAGCCCUUAUCGACGAGAGGGUUUACGACCUCGAUGUUGGAUCAGGGCCUCCUAAUGGUGUAACCGCUAUUAAGGGUUUGUUUGUUCAACGAUUAAAGCCCUACGUGAUCUGAGUUCAGACCGGAGAAAUCCAGGUCAGUUUCUAUCUAUGAGCUAGUACUUUUUUCUAGUACGAAAGGACCGAAAUAAAGAAGGCCCAUGUUUCAAGUAUGCCUCUCCCCAAACUAAUGAAAUCAAAUAAAAAAGGCAAAGGGGCACAAAAUCUUAACCGCCGAGAAUAAUGGCAAA
rnacentral:rRNA from 1 species